UACGUAGGGGCAAGCGUUGGUCCGGAAUCAUUGGGCGUAAAGAGCGCGUAGGCGGUCCGGUAAGUCCGCUGUGAAAGUCAAGGGCUCAACCCUUGAAUGCCGGUGGAUACUGUCGGGCUAGAGUCCGGAAGAGGCGAGUGGAAUUCCUGGUGUAGCGGUGAAAUGCGCAGAUAUCAGGAGGAACACCGGUGGUGUAGACGGCUCACUGGACCGUAACUGACGCUGAGGAGCGAAAGCGUGGGGAGCGAACAGG
rnacentral:rRNA from 1 species